UGGGGUUUGGCAAGAAGGAACAGAUGUGGUCUUUAAUGAGCAACUUCAAAUAAUUCAGUAUGAUAGAGGUUAGUGGUACAGGUUGGUAGUUAUUCAGGCAGGUAACUACAGACUUUCAGGACAGGGAUGAUGGUGGUUUUCUCAAAGCAUGUGGGAAUCACUGAUAGUCUAAGGAAGAGGUUGAAAAUUUCUGUAAGCACCUCUGUUUGCUGGUUGGCACAUGAUUUGAGGACAUGGCCAUGAACACCAUCAGGACCAGCUGCUUUGUGGGGGUUGACUUCUGUAAGUGAUUUGGUUAAGUCAGUUUCACUUCAGGGAAAUUGUUGCUAUCUCAAAUUAUUUCUUGAUGUCAUUCAACUGAUCUGGCAGUGAGGCAGACAGAUCCAUUCAGCACAGGAGUUCUAGAAGACUGUGAUGAGGACUUUCAUGCAAAUGAUCGCAUACAUGUCAACGAUAGCAAUCAGAGAUGAGAACUCAGGAACAUAAAUCUGUCACAGCAAUUUCUGGAAUCUUUCUAUCCUCGCUCCAUUGACA